AGGACGAACGCUGGCGGCGUGCUUAACACAUGCAAGUCGAACGAACCUUCGGGUUAGUGGCGAACGGGUGAGUAACACGUGGGCAACCUGCCUCGAGCUCUGGGAUAACACCGGGAAACCGGUGCUAAUACCGGAUAUGAACAGAGAAGGCAUCUUUUCUGUUGGAAAGUUUUUCGGCUCGAGAUGGGCCCGCGGCCUAUCAGCUUGUUGGUGGGGUAACGGCCUACCAAGGCGACGACGGGUAACC
rnacentral:rRNA from 1 species